rnacentral:tRNA from 1 species
GACUUAGUGGUGUAAUGGUAAGUCGUCCGCUGCGGAGCCAGAAGAUCUUGGGUUCGAUCCCUAAUUAGGUCA